ACGUAGGUGGCAAGCGUUGUCCGGAAUUACUGGGUGUAAAGGGAGCGCAGGCGGGGAUGCAAGUCAGCUGUGAAAACAAUGGGCUUAACCCGUUGAUUGCAGUUGAAACUGUUUUUCUUGAGUGGAGUAGAGGUAGAAGGAAUUCCGAGUGUAGCGGUGAAAUGCGUAGAUAUUCGGAGGAACACCAGUGGCGAAGGCGGCCUACUGGGCUCUAACUGACGAUGAGGCUCGAAAGUGUGGGGAGCAAACAG
rnacentral:rRNA from 1 species